rnacentral:rRNA from 1 species
AUUGAACGCUGGCGGCAUGCCUUACACAUGCAAGUCGAACGGUAACAGGUCUUCGGAUGCUGACGAGUGGCGAACGGGUGAGUAAUACAUCGGAACGUGCCUAGUAGUGGGGGAUAACUACUCGAAAGAGUGGCUAAUACCGCAUGAGAUCUACGGAUGAAAGCAGGGGAUCGCAAGACCUUGUGCUACUAGAGCGGCCGAUGGCAGAUUAGGUAGUUGGCGGGAUAAAAGCUUACCAAGCCGACGAUCUGUCGCUGGUCUGAGAGGACGAUCAGCCACACUGGGACUGAGACACGGCCCAGACUCCUACGGGAGGCAGCAGUGGGGAAUUUUGGACAAUGGGCGCAAGCCUGAUUCAGCAAUGCCGCGUGCAGGAUGAAGGCCUUCGGGUUGUAAACUGCUUUUGUACGGAACGAAAAGCCCUGGGUUAAUACCCUGGGGUCAUGACGGUACCGUAAGAAUAAGCACCGGCUAACUACGUGCCAGCCGCCGCGGUAACAC